UUUUACUAAUUAUGCUAUAUUAUUCUCAAUUUAAUACUUUGAAAUACAUUGUUAUUUUGUAUAGAUUGUAUAUUAAGUUUAUGGUUAAAUAAAUCUAAUUUUCUUUUAUAGAAUUGAGAUUAUUUAUAGUAUCGAAAUUUUGUUGUAUUUUCAAUUACAAACCAAAUAAAAUAUGGAAGUUGAGAAAUAUGAAGUACUUUUAGAAAGCUUUAUUUCAAAUAUUAAAAGGAAAAAAUUGAAUGACAACUGUAAAAUUGCUGAAGAAACAAUAAAACUCUUAAGACAUUUUAUUGAAACAACAAAUUGGUCUACUGCAAAGGAAUUGUUGAUUCAUUUGAGGAAAUAUGGACACAUUUUAACAUCAGCCUUGCCUAUACAAUUUGUUGUUGGAAAUAUAGUUAGAAGAAUAUUAAAUAUUGUAAGAGAAGAAUAUAUUGCUGCUCGAAAAAAUUCUGUUGAAGACAUUGAUGUACAAGAUUCAUUACAUAAAAUAGUUACUUCUGAGGAUGAUAUUGAUGAUUACAACAAUUUUGUUCCUGAACUUAAAUUAUCAAUUUUUGAACAUUUAGAUGAAUUUCAAAUGGAAAUAGAAUCAAGUAAUGAAGAUAUUGCUAAACAAGCUCGUGAGCAUAUUCAUUCAAAUGAAAUCAUACUUACUGUUGGCAAGUCAUCUGAAGUUGAAAUGUUUUUAAAAGAAGCAGCUAAAGACCGUAGCUUUGAAGUAUUUAUUACUGAAUGUGGUCCAUUGAAUAGUGGGAAGCAAUUAGCCUUGAAUCUCUCGAGACAUAAAAUUCCAAUUACUCUAAUUCCUGAUUGUGCCAUGUUUGGGAUUAUGUCAAGAGUGAAUAAAGUUAUAAUUGGUGUUGAUUCUGUAAUGGCAAAUGGUGGACUCAGGACAUUUAGUAGCUGUCAUGCUGUAUCAUUAGCUGCUCAUCACUAUUCUGUACCUGUUUUAGUUUUAGCACCUUUAUACAAAUUAAGUACUCGUUAUUUGUGUUCAUACAAUCAAGAUGCAUUUAAUGAAUUUGUAUCUCCAUCUGGAGUUAUAAAUUAUUCUAAUUCAGAUGUUACAAAAGUUGAUGUUUACAAUCCAACCUAUGAUUAUGUACCUCCUGAAAAUGUGACGCUGUUCAUUUUCAACAAUUAGUAUAUUAUGUCAUUAAAAUUAUUUUUUGGUUAUUUUAUAUAUCUCCAUAAGAUUGUUUCUUUAACCAAUUUUCAUGGUGGCCAAUCACCUUCAUAUGUUUAUAGAUUACUGUCAGAAAUGUAUCAUUCAGAUGAUUAUGAUUUAUCAGUUUAAAAAUAUUUAAUAUUUUACUCAAUAAUUCUAUUGUAUUGUUAAAUAAAUUUUUGAAAAGAAGCAUGGAAGAUUUUGUUGGCUCAUAUGAACUCAUGUUUAAGUAAUUAAAAUAUUAUUCAAAAUGUGCUUUAUAAAUUGUUUUUAUGAUAAGACUUUUCCUAUAUCUGUUAUUUUAUGGUUUUUUUAGUAUGGAAUUAUAUACAAAUUUUACUCAACAUUUUAAAAAAUCAUCUCAAAUUUUAGUAUAUUUAAUCUUGUAUUAAAAAAAUCUUCAAAAAAAUGACUCGAUUAUAAUAUAUGAAGAGUGAAUGUGUCAAACGUUCUAUGUGUCAAAAACAUAUUUGUUCAGAAAAUACAAAAAACAAUGGUAACAUGGGCAUGUCUCACAUAUCAAACACCAUCUAUGAAUGCAAUUUUGUACAAGUAAAAAAUUUAAUUGACAUUUGAAACACAUACAAGAUUGUGGCCUUUGGCACAUAGAACAUAAAUCAGAAAUAAAACAAUUUUUCACUUUUUUGGCACAUAGAACGUUUGACACAUUCACUCUUCAUGUAUACAGAACUCAUUAUCUUUGAAGUGUGUGACAUGUACUUAUACUUUCAAAAAUGAUCAUCCCUACCUCAUAUUCUUUAUAAACAUUUAAAUUUUAAUGUAAAUAAAUUGUUUUAUAUUUAUAUUGUUGAAAGAAGAUAUAUUGUGGAUUGACAAAAGAUUAUAACACAAUUAGUUACAAUAAAAUAAUGAGUAAUAUUUUAUUAUAAUUAACACAUAUUAAUGUAUAAAUAAAACUGUUUUCUAUCAA